rnacentral:rRNA from 1 species
CCCUUAGAUGUUCUGGGCCGCACGCGCGCUACAAUGAUGAAUUCAACGAGUUUAUAACCUUGGUUGAAAAGCCUGGGUAAUCUUUUGAACUUUCGUCGUGAUGGGGCUAGACCCUUGCAAUUAUUGGUCUCCAACGAGGAAUUCCUAGUAAACGCAAGUCAUCAGCUUGCAUUGAUUGCGUCCCUGCCCUUUGUACACACCGCCCGUCGCACCUACCGAUUGAAUGGUCCGGUGAAAUCUUCGGAUUGAGACUUUGUUUUCUUCACGGAAAACGCUGUUUUAAAAAGUUGAUUAAACCUUACCAUUUAGAGGAAGGUGAAGUCGUAACA